rnacentral:rRNA from 1 species
AACGAACGCUGGCGGCAUGCCUAACACAUGCAAGUCGAACGAGACCUUCGGGUCUAGUGGCGCACGGGUGCGUAACGCGUGGGAACCUGCCCUUAGGUUCGGAAUAACUCCCCGAAAGGGGUGCUAAUACCGGAUAAUGUCUUCGGACCAAAGAUUUAUCGCCUUUGGAUGGGCCCGCGUUGGAUUAGCUAGUUGGUAGGGUAAAAGCCUACCAAGGCGACGAUCCAUAGCUGGUCUGAGAGGAUGAUCAGCCACACUGGGACUGAGACACGGCCCAGACUCCGACGGGAGGCAGCAGUGGGGAAUAUUGGACGAUGGGCGAAAGCCUGAUCCAGCCAUGCCGCGUGAGUGAUGAAGGCCUUAGGGUUGUAAAGCUCUUUUACCCGAGAUGAGAAUGACGGUACCGGGAGAAUAAGCACCGGCUAACUCCGUG